GACGAACGCUGGCGGCGUGCUUAACACAUGCAAGUCGAACGGGCCCGCUCUCUUUUUUGGGGGUGGGUUGAGUGGCGAACGGGUGAGUAUCACGUGAGUAACCUGCCCCCUGCUCCUGGAUAACUGCUUGAAAGGGCGGCUAAUACGGGGUGUGCCGGCUGGUCCGCAUGGGCCUGGUCGGGAUAGUUUCAUCUUCGGGUGUUUCGGUGGGGGAUGGGCUCGCGGCCUAUCAGCUUGUUGGCGGGGUGAUGGCCCACCAAGGCGGUGACGGGUAGCCGGCCUGAGAGGGUGGGCGGCCACACUGGGACUGAGACACGGCCCAGACUCCUGCGGGAGGCAGCAGUGGGGGGUAUUGCACAAUGGGCGGAAGCCUGAUGCAGCGACGUCGCGUGAGGGAUGGAGGCCUUCGGGUUGUGAACCUCUUUCUCCGGUGGUGAAGGCCCUGUCCGUUGCGGCGGGGUUGACGGUAGCCGGGUAUGAAGCGCCGGCUAACUACGUG
rnacentral:rRNA from 1 species